rnacentral:rRNA from 1 species
AGUGAACGCUGGCGGUAGGCCUAACACAUGCAAGUCGAACGGCAGCACAGUAAGAGCUUGCUCUUACGGGUGGCGAGUGGCGGACGGGUGAGGAAUACAUCGGAAUCUACUUUUUCGCGGGGGAUAACGUAGGGAAACUUACGCUAAUACCGCAUACGACCUACGGGUGAAAGCAGGGGAUCUUCGGACCUUGCGCGAUUGAAUGAGCCGAUGUCGGAUUAGCUAGUUGGCGGGGUAAAGGCCCACCAAGGCGACGAUCCGUAGCUGGUCUGAGAGGAUGAUCAGCCACACUGGAACUGAGACACGGUCCAGACUCCUACGGGAGGCAGCAGUGGGAAAUAUUGGACAAUGGGCGCAAGCCUGAUCCAGCCAUACCGCGUGGGUGAAGAAGGCCUUCGGGUUGUAAAGCCCUUUUGUUGGGAAAGAAAAGCAGCAGGUUAAUACCCCGCUGUUCUGACGGUACCCAAAGAAUAAGCACCGGCUAACUUCGUG